rnacentral:rRNA from 1 species
GACGAACGCUGGCGGCGUGCUUAACACAUGCAAGUCGAACGGAAAGGCCCUGCUUGCAGGGUACUCGAGUGGCGAACGGGCGAGUAACACGUGGGUGAUCUGCCCUGCACUUCGGGAUAAGCCUGGGAAACUGGGUCUAAUACCGGAUAGGAGCCAUUUUUAGUGUGAUGGUUGGAAAGUUUUUUCGGUUUUGGCUGAGCUGGCGGCCUAUCAGCUUGUUGGUGGGGUAAUGGCCUACCAAGGCGGCGACGGGAAGCCGGCCUGAGGGGGUGGACGGCGACAUUGGGACUGAGGGACGGCCCAGACUCCGACGGGAGGCAGCAGGGGGGAAUAUUGCACGAUGGGCGCAGGCCUGGUGCUGCGACGCCGCGUGGGGGAUGACGGCCUUCGGGUUGUAAACUCUAUUCGCUAGGGACGAAGCUUUUUGUGACGGUACCUAGACAAGAAGCACCGGCUAACUACGUG